CUCUUACUUCUAUAAGCUUUUUCAUUUGCAUGGAUUAUCUAGUAUGGUUUUUUCCCAAUACCCAUUUGUUUAUAGAUGCUGGGAAAGGCUGUGGAGAAAGAGGAGUAAUGACACAUUCAAAACAAAGAAUGAAGGUGGAUAAAGCACAGAGUCCUAGACUGCAGUUCUGCCCUGGAUUCAAAACAGUUUCUCCAUGGGAAAAUUUGAUGUGCUAUUUGCUAAAUAAUUUAAGAAUGUAAGUUAUCAACCAGAGAAAAAGGUCUGCCCAUAUUGGGAAUUUAAAAGCUCUUAUGUUUUAGCAAGUACUCUAAAUAAUACAUGACAUUGGAAGAAAAAAAUCAUGAGCAAUACAAAAUAUUACACAAUAAUGUAAAAUAUAAAUAUUCAAAUAUA